rnacentral:rRNA from 1 species
UACGGGGGGGGGUAAGCGUUGUUCGGAAUUACUGGGCGUAAAGGGCUCGUAGGCGGCCAACUAAGUCGGACGUGAAAUCCCUCAGCUUAACUGGGGAACUGCGUCCGAUACUGGAUGGCUUGGAUUUGGGAGAGGGAUGCGGAAUUCCAGGUGUAGCGGUGAAAUGCGCAGAUAUCGGGAGGAACACCCGUGGCGAAGGCGGCUCUCUGGAACGGUACUGACGCUGAGACGCGAAAGCGUGGGGGAGCGAACAGG